rnacentral:rRNA from 1 species
GAGGCGAACCGGGGGAACUGAAACAUCUAAGUACCCCGAGGAAAAGAAAUCAACCGAGAUUCCGAAAGUAGCGGCGAGCGAAAUUGGACUAGCCCUUAAGCUUUACACGCGUUAGACGAACGGUCUGGAAAGUCCGACGAUACAGGGUGAUAGUCCCGUAGUUGACGACGUGUGUUCAGUGAAAUCGAGUAGGGCGGGACACGUGAUAUCCUGUCUGAAUAUGGGGGGACCAUCCUCCAAGGCUAAAUACUACUGACUGACCGAUAGUGAACCAGUACCGUGAGGGAAAGGCGAAAAGAACCCCUGUGAGGGGAGUGAAAUAGAACCUGAAACCGUGUACGUACAAGCAGUAGGAGCAGGCUUGUCCUGUGACUGCGUACCUUUUGUAUAAUGGGUCAGCGACUUAUAUUCAGUGGCAAGGUUAACCAUCUAGGGGAGCCGUAGGGAAACCGAGUCUUAACUGGGCGUUCAGUCUCUGGAUAUAGACCCGAAACCAGGUGAUCUAGCCAUGGGCAGGUUGAAGGUUGAGUAACAUCAACUGGAGGACCGAACCGACUAAUGUUGAAAAAUUAGCGGAUGACUUGUGGCUAGGGGUGAAAGGCCAAUCAAACCUGGAGAUAGCUGGUUCUCCCCGAAAGCUAUUUAGGUAGCGCCUCGGACGAAUACUACUGGGGGUAGAGCACUGUUAAGGCUAGGGGGUCAUCCCGACUUACCAACCCUUUGCAAACUCCGAAUACCAGUAAGUACUAUCCGGGAGACACACGGCGGGUGCUAACGUCCGUCGUGGAGAGGGAAACAACCCAGACCGCCAGCUAAGGUCCCAAAUUACUACUAAGUGGGAAACGAUGUGGGAAGGCUCAGACAGCCAGGAUGUUGGCUUAGAAGCAGCCAUCAUUUAAAGAAAGCGUAAUAGCUCACUGGUCGAGUCGGCCUGCGCGGAAGAUGUAACGGGGCUAAGUAGUAAACCGAAGCUGCGGCAAUAUACUUUUGCACCUGCGCGGAAGAUGUAACGGGGCUAAGUAGUAAACCGAAGCUGCGGCAAUAUACUUUUGUAUAUUGGGUAGGGGAGCGUUCUGUAAGCGGUUGAAGGUGUGUGGUAACGCAUGCUGGACGUAUCAGAAGUGCGAAUGCUGACAUGAGUAACGAUAAAGGGGGUGAAAAACCUCCUCGCCGGAAGACCAAGGGUUCCUGUCCAACGUUAAUCGGGGCAGGGUAAGUCGACCCCUAAGGCGAGGCCGAAAGGCGUAGUCGAUGGGAAACGGGUUAAUAUUCCCGUACUUCUUACAAUUGCGAUGGGGGGACGGAGAAGGCUAGGUGGGCCUGGCGACGGUUGUCCAGGUUCAAGUGCGUAGGCUUAAGAGUUAGGUAAAUCCGGCUCUUUUUAAGGCUGAGACACGACGUCGAGCACCUACGGGUGUGAAGUCAUUGAUGCCAUGCUUCCAGGAAAAGCCUCUAAGCUUCAGAUUGUAAGGAAUCGUACCCCAAACCGACACAGGUGGUCGGGUAGAGAAUACCAAGGCGCUUGAGAGAACUCGGGU